rnacentral:rRNA from 1 species
UACGUAGGGACCGAGCGUUGUCCGGAUUCAUUGGGCGUAAAGAGCUCGUAGGCGGCCACUCAAGUCGAAUGUGAAACCUCGAGGCUUAACCUCGAGCCUGCAUUCGAUACUGGGCGGCUAGAGUCUGGUAGGGGGAUCUGGAAUUCCUGGUGUAGCGGUGGAAUGCGCAGAUAUCAGGAGGAACACCGGUGGCGAAGGCGGGUCUCUGGGCCGAUACUGACGCUGAGGAGCGAAAGCGUGGGGAGCAAACAGG